rnacentral:rRNA from 1 species
CCUACGGGUGGCAGCAGUGAGGAAUAUUGGUCAAUGGACGAGAGUCUGAACCAGCCAAGUAGCGUGAAGGAUGACUGCCCUAUGGGUUGUAAACUUCUUUUAUAUGGGAAUAAAAUGUUCCACGUGUGGGAUUUUGUAUGUACCAUAUGAAUAAGGAUCGGCUAACUCCGUUCCAGCAGCCGCGGUAAUACGGAGGAUCCGAGCGUUAUCCGGAUUUAUUGGGUUUACAGGGAGCGUAGGUGGAUUGUUAAGUCAGUUGUGAAAGUUUGCGGCUCAACCGUAAAAUUGCAGUUGAAACUGGCAGUCUUGAGUACAGUAGAGGUGGGCGGAAUUCGUGGUGUAGCGGUGAAAUGCUUAGAUAUCACGAAGAACUCCGAUUGCGAAGGCAGUUCACUGGACUGCAACUGACACUGAGGCUCGAAAGUGUGGGUAUCAAACAGGAUUAGAUACCCUUGUAGUC